rnacentral:rRNA from 1 species
UACGUAGGGAGCGAGCGUUGUCCGGAAUUACUGGGCGUAAAGGGUGCGUAGGCGGUUUGGUAAGUCAGAUGUGAAAUACCCGGGCUUAACCUGGGGGCUGCAUCUGAUACUGUCAGACUUGAGUGCAGGAGAGGAAAGCGGAAUUCCUAGUGUAGCGGUGAAAUGCGUAGAUAUUAGGAGGAACACCAGUGGCGAAGGCGGCUUUCUGGACUGUAACUGACGCUGAGGCACGAAAGCGUGGGGAGCAAACA